AGACUGUCAAUGAAAAAGAAUGAUCAACCGGCCCGGGAUAGCGAGUGGGUGGUGGUGCAAGACCCACCGGUGCGCUGGUUGAGUGACCCUUUGGAGACUGGGCGUUUGCCCCGCUGAGUAUUCGGCGUUACCCACGAGUUGAUACCAAGGUGGUACCGUGCAUUUUGCACCCUUGUC
rnacentral:misc_RNA from 1 species